GACGGAGGAUGCAAGUGUUAUCCGGAAUCACUGGGCGUAAAGCGUCUGUAGGUGGUUUAAUAAGUCAACUGUUAAAUCUUGAGGCUCAACCUCAAAAUCGCAGUCGAAACUAUUAGGCUAGAGUAUAGUAGGGGUAAAGGGAAUUUCCAGUGGAGCGGUGAAAUGCGUAGAGAUUGGAAAGAACACCGAUGGCGAAGGCACUUUACUGGGCUAUUACUAACACUCAGAGACGAAAAGCUAAGGGUAGCAA
rnacentral:rRNA from 1 species